rnacentral:rRNA from 1 species
UACGUAGGUGGCAAGCGUUGUCCGGAGUUAUUGGGCGUAAAGCGCGCGCAGGCGGUGCGGUAAGUCUCUGGUGAAAGCGCUCGGCUUAACUGGGCGAGGGCCGGGGAGACUGCCACGCUGGAGGGGAGCAGAGGCGAGUGGAAUUCCGGGUGUAGUGGUGAAAUGCGUAGAGAUCCGGAGGAACACCAGUGGCGAAGGCGGCUUCCUGGACCAAUACUGACGAUCAGGUGCGAAAGCGUGGGGAGCAAACAGG